ACAUUGCAUCCAUCCAUUCAUUGCAUACGCAUAAAAAUCAAAACUCUUAGUUUGUUUCGCAUUAUUUUAGGAAUCCAAGACUUGUUAGCAAAAUGAAUCCUGAGAGAAGAAGCACUCUUCAGUUCAAAUACGAGAACAUGGACCUUGCCAGCCUGUAGAAGUUGAGUACCAAAGUAACACCAAUCAAACUCAACAACUUUGUGCAAGACUAUGGAAGAAUUCUGGACAUCCUAAAUGAGAAGAUG
rnacentral:lncRNA from 1 species